rnacentral:lncRNA from 1 species
UUAAGGUAUCAGGUACAGGUUGAAGAAAAUGAUCUCAAAGAUUACAGUAUUUUGAUAUUAUAAAGCCUACGAGAAAAAACAGAUACACUUGCAAGGCAUUUCAGGUUAAGCCUACUAGACAUUCUUGUUCUUCUUCAUCUUUGAAGGUGGCCAUCGCCCUUUCUUCCUUAGGUGGCGCUUCCUAACGAGUCUCUUCCUGCGUAGUCUAAUUUUUUUUGCCAACUUCAUCUUCAUCUUCUGUUCAAGCUUCUCUUGAAGCUUAGACUCCAGAGGGAGAUUCUCAACAGGCACACUUUCCUCAUUUUUUUCUGGUGAAGGCUC